rnacentral:tRNA from 4 species
GGGUUGCUAACUCAAUGGUAGAGUACUCGGCUUUUAACCGGGUUCGAGUCCCGGGCAACCCAUAUGGAAACU